ensembl:lncRNA
CGCACGGCCACCCACGCGGAAGCGCCGGGCCUCGCCUGGAGGAAACUGGAGGACUGAAAACUACGCUCCCAGAACUGUCUGAAAACACACCCUCUGACCUUCAGGAUCCCCCAAGUCUGAGGCGGCAGGCUCAUUUGCCCCCACCCCGAUCCUCACCAUUUCAGCAUACAGAAAGCUGAUACUUGCUAGAUGCCUUUAGGGUGCUGGGUCCUGCCCUCCGGAGUUUUGUAGACAGUAUUUCAUUCAGUUCCUCAUGACAACUUAAGGAUUUAUUCUUUCCUUUUACAGAACUAGACUCUUGGGCACAGAGAGGUUAAGUUACUUGCUCCGGGAUACACAGCAAAGAAGUGAGGACUCCAGCUCCUUCUCCUCUAUGGAGCCUCCCCACCAGGAGUGCAGGACAGGAAGAGGGGGUAAUGAUUCUGUGUCGCCCCCUACUCCCAGCCCUGCACCCUCACCCCACCCCCUGGGAGUGCUAGCGUGCAGGACAGAGUGCUGAAACUCCGCACGGGGUAGGAGAAGCCUUCAUCUCCCCCGAAACGGCCCUGCGCGCUGAGCCAGGGACAGCGAACAGCGCCAGGAGAGGGACUGGGACUCCAAGAAAGCGCUUGAAAGAGCUUACACCUGGGCAACAGGAGGACCUGCCUUCUCUGAUGAAAUCAAAACCUGACAGAAAUUGGAGUCUCCUCUUCCUUCUCUUCAUUGCUGUGGAGACCAGAAGAGCCCCGAUAAUCCGAGUUAAUAAGGACAGACAGUGCUCCAGGCCUCUGACAAUUCUCCCAGAAGCUCUGAGUCCUACAGGCACCCUUACUGUUCCCAUGACACAGAAGCGGACGAGACUCAGGCAGCUUAGGACACUGGCCCCCUUAGAACAUGAAGGAGUUCAGGAUCGCGAACUGUAUGAACCAAAACUGAGCUCUUAAUUUCUGGCCUCUUCGGCUUCCUGGGUUUCAGAAUUGUGGGUGAGUGGACCGGCACAGAGAUGAAGGGCUUGAGCGACAGAUGGGUGGAUGGAUUAAUGAGUGUGUGGAUAGAUGAACGAAUGGACGCAUGGAUGGGGGGUGGGCAGGUGAGUGGAUGGAUGGAUGGACAGAUAAGAGAGAUGGAUGAUGGAGGGAGGGAAGGAGAGAGAAAAGGUGGGAGACAGGUCAGGGGGGAUGAUGGAUGGAUAAUGGGCAGGUGGAUGGAUAAAUGGGUGGUGUUGGCAUGGGGGUGAUACUUUAUAGACCCCCCUAUUGAAACACAUCCUAGGGAUGGGGUAUCUCUGUGAGGAAGCCACCCUCGUUUUGCAGGUGGGUAGUCAGGAGCGAAGUCUGUGAGGUCCCCCUGGGGGCCUCUCAGAAUCAGAGAAUUACCCCGCUGGUCCUGCCCAGUCUUGGAGGAUGCUCGAGAGGGAAGGGGCUCCUAGAGCUUGGAGGGGAGAGGCUUGGCGCGAGGAGGGUCUUAGAGGGGCAGGACUCAGAGAGGGGAGGGGGUCGGUAGGGGAGGAGCUUAGAGGGGUGGGACUCAGAGAGGGGCGGG